rnacentral:rRNA from 1 species
GACGAACGCUGGCGGCGUGCUUAACACAUGCCAGUCGAACGAAGUGGCGGACGGGUGAGUAAUACGUGGGUAACCUGCCCUCCUUUUUGGGAUAAGCCUUGGAAACGGGGGCUAAUACCGAAUAAUGGGGGAUGGGCUCGCGGCCUAUCAGCUUGUUGGUGGGGUGAUGGCGUACCAAGGCGGUGCCGGGUAGCCGGCCUGAGAGGGGGACCGGCCACAUGGGUACUGAGAUACGUCCCAGACGCGUACGGGGGAGAGCAGUUGGGGAUAUUGAACAAAGGGUGAAAGCCUGAUGAAGCGAGUCCGCAUGGGGGAUGAAGGCUUUCGGGUUGUAAACCUCUUUCACUAUAAAAAGGGUAGGUAGAGAAAAAGCGCCGGCUAACUACGUGCCAGCCGCCGCGGUAAUAC